rnacentral:ncRNA from 1 species
CCUGCGUGUGCAGGUCGGGAUGUGAGGCGGCGACCACGCCGCCUUGAACCACACA